GUGACGAAGACUCGCAGCGCUGAGAGGUGAAGACGAACCGGGUUCCGA
rnacentral:snoRNA from 1 species